rnacentral:rRNA from 1 species
GACGAACGCUGGCGGCGUGCUUAACACAUGCAAGUCGAACGGAAAGGCCCUGCUUUUGUGGGGUGCUCGAGUGGCGAACGGGUGAGUAACACGUGAGUAACCUGCCCUUGACUUUGGGAUAACUUCAGGACACUGGGGCUAAUACCGGAUAGGAGCUCCUGCUGCAUGGUGGGGGUUGGAAAGUUUCGGCGGUUGGGGAUGGACUCGCGGCUUAUCAGCUUGUUGGUGGGGUAGUGGCUUACCAAGGCUUUGACGGGUAGCCGGCCUGAGAGGGUGACCGGCCACAUUGGGACUGAGAUACGGCCCAGACUCCUACGGGAGGCAGCAGUGGGGAAUAUUGCACAAUGGGCGGAAGCCUGAUGCAGCGACGCCGCGUGCGGGAUGACGGCCUUCGGGUUGUAAACCGCUUUCGCCUGUGACGAAGCGUGAGUGGCGGUAAUGGGUAAAGAAGCACCGGCUAACUACGUG